rnacentral:rRNA from 1 species
UAAGACGGAGGAGGCAAGCGUUAUCCGGAAUUAUUGGGCGUAAAGCGUCCGCAGGUGGCUUUCCAAGUCUGCCGUCAAAGCCCGAGGCUUAACCUCGGAUCGGCGGUGGAAACUGGAUCGCUAGAGUGCGUCAGGGGUAGGGGGAAUUCCCGGUGUAGCGGUGAAAUGCGUAGAUAUCGGGAAGAACACCAGUGACGAAAGUGCCCUACUGGGACGUUACUGACACUCAUGGACGAAAGCUAGGGGAGCGAAAGGGAUUAGAUACCCCUGUAGUCCUAGCCGUAAACGAUGCGAACUGGGCGUGGGUGGAUUAAAACCCAUCCGUGCCGAAGCUAACGCGAUAAGUUCGCCGCCUGGGGACUACGGCCGCAAGGUUA